CCGGCGCACGGGUGAGUAACACGUAUCCAACCUGCCGUCUACUCUUGGACAGCCUUCUGAAAGGAAGAUUAAUACAAGAUGGCAUCAUGAGUCCGCAUGUUCACAUGAUUAAAGGUAUUCCGGUAGACGAUGGGGAUGCGUUCCAUUAGAUAGUAGGCGGGGUAACGGCCCACCUAGUCUUCGAUGGAUAGGGGUUCUGAGAGGAAGGUCCCCCACAUUGGAACUGAGACACGGUCCAAACUCCUACGGGAGGCAGCAUG
rnacentral:rRNA from 1 species